GGUUGUCGUCAGCUCGUGUCGUGAGAUGUUGGUUAAGUACCCGCAACGAGCGCAACCCCUAUUGUUAGUUGCCAUCAUUCAGUUGGGCACUCUAGCGAGACUGCCGGUAAUAAACCGGAGGAAGGUGGGGAUGACGUCAAAUCAUCAUGCCCCUUAUGACCUGGGCUACACACGUGCUACAAUGGUUGGUACAACGAGUUGCGAGUCGGUGACGGCGAGCUAAUCUCUUAAAGCCAAUCUCAGUUCGGAUUGUAGGCUGCAACUCGCCUACAUGAAGUCGGGAUCGCUAGUAAUCGCGGAUCAGCACGCCGCGGUGAAUACGUUCCCGGGCCUU
rnacentral:rRNA from 1 species